CCUACGGGUGGCAGCAGUGGGGAAUAUUGCACAAUGGGGGAAACCCUGAUGCAGCAACGCCGCGUGAGGGAUGAAGUAUUUCGGUAUGUAAAGCUCUAUCAGUAGGGAAUAGUAAAGAAGUUACCAGCAAAUGAACCCCCGGCUAACUAGGUGCCAGCAGCCGCGUUAAUACGUAGGUGGAAGGGGUUAUCCGGAUUUACUGGGUGUAAAGGUAGCGUAGACGGAGAGGUAAGUCAGAUGUGAAUGCUCAAGGCUUAACCAUGGAACUGCUUUUGAACCUGUCACACUGGAGUGCGGGAGAGGUAAGAGGAAUUCUUAGUGUAGCGGUGAAAUGCGUAGAUAUUAAGAGGAACACCAGUGGCGAAGGCGUCUUACUGGAACGAAACUGACGUUGAGGCUCGAAAGCGUGGGGAGCAAACAGGAUUAGAUACCCGUGUAGUC
rnacentral:rRNA from 1 species